AUUGAACGCUGACGGCAUGCUUUACACAUGCAAGUCGAACGGUAACAGGGAGCUUGCUCCGCUGACGAGUGGCGAACGAGUGAGUAAUGCAUCGGAACGUGCCGUGUAGUGGGGGAUAACGUAGCGAAAGUUACGCUAAUACCGCAUACGCCCCGAGGGGGAAAGUGGGGGACCGCAAAACCUCACGCUAUACGAGCGGCCGAUGUCGGAUUAGCUAGUUGGUAGGGUAAAGACCUACCAAGGCGACGAUCCGUAGCGGGUCUGAGAGGAUGAUCCGCCACACUGGGACUGAGACACGGCCCAGACUCCUACGGGAGGCAGCAGUGGGGAAUUUUGGACAAUGGGCGCAAGCCUGAUCCAGCCAUGCCGCGUGAGUGAAGAAGGCCUUCGGGUUGUAAAGCUCUUUCAGACGGAAAGAAAUCGGUGUGUCUAAUACACGCACUGGAUGACGGUACCGUAAGAAGAAGCACCGGCUAACUACGUACCAGCCGCCGCGGUAAUAC
rnacentral:rRNA from 1 species